GAUGAACGCUGGCGGCGUGCCUAAUACAUGCAAGUCGAGCGAACAGACGAGGAGCUUGCUCCUCUGACGUUAGCGGCGGACGGGUGAGUAACACGUGGAUAACCUACCUAUAAGACUGGGAUAACUUCGGGAAACCGGAGCUAAUACCGGAUAACAUGUUGAACCGCAUGGUUCAACAGUGAAAGACGGUCUUGCUGUCACUUAUAGAUGGAUCCGCGCCGCAUUAGCUAGUUGGUAAGGUAACGGCUUACCAAGGCAACGAUGCGUAGCCGACCUGAGAGGGGGAUCGGCCACACUGGAACUGAGACACGGUCCAGACUCCUACGGGAGGCAGCAGUAGGGAAUCUUCCGCAAUGGGCGAAAGCCUGACGGAGCAACGCCGCGUGAGUGAAGAAGGUCUUCGGAUCGUAAAACUCUGUUAUUAGGGAAGAACAAAUGUGUAAGUAACUAUGCACGUCUUGACGGGACCUAAUCAGAAAGCCACGGCUAACUACGU
rnacentral:rRNA from 1 species